rnacentral:ncRNA from 1 species
UAAAAUAAUUAUGUUUUUUAUAAUUUAUUAUGAAUUUAUUUUACAUAUAAAUUUUAGUAUUAAAUUUUCUGUUAUUUAAAAAAUAAUUAAUUAAUUAAGUAGUAAUUAGUAUUAAAAAUUUAAGAAAUUAAGAUUUAGUAAUAUAAAAAUUAAUAACUAAUUUUGUGCCAGCAGUUGCGGUUAAACAAAGAUUAAAUUAAAUUAUUUCAGUUUAUAAUAAAUAAAAUUUAAUUAAAAUAAAUAUUAAAUUAUUAGGUGAAAUUUUAAUUUAAUUAAAUUUUAUUAUGGUUUUAUGAUUUAAUAAAUUUAAAAAUAAACUAGGAUUAGAUACCCUAUUAUUAAAAAUUUAAUUUAUAAUACUAAAAUAGUAAGUAAUAAUUUAUUGAAACUUAAAUAAUAUGGCGGUAUUUUAGUUCAUUUAGAGGAAUCUGUCUAUUAAUUGAUAAUCCACGAAUAAAUUUACUUAAUUUAUAAUUUUGUAUAUCAUUGUUAAAAAAAUAUUUUUUAGUGAAAAUAAUAUUUUAAAUUUAAAAAUAAAAAUUAAUUCAGAUCAAGAUGCAGAGUAUAAUUAAGAAUAUGAUGGAUUACAAUAAAUAUAUUUAAAUGAAAAAUUGUUUUGAAAUAAAAAUUUGAAGGUGGAUUUAAAUGUAAUUUUAAUUAAUUUAUUAUAAUGAUUAAAAAUUAAAAUAUGUACAUAUUGCCCGUCACUUUCAUUUUAAAAUUGGAAUAAGUCGUAACAAAGUAGAGGUACUGGAAAGUGUUUCUAGAAAGAU